AUUGAACGCUGGCGGCAUGCCUUACACAUGCAAGUCGAACGGCAGCACGGGUGCUUGCCCCUGGUGGCGAGUGGCGAACGGGUGAGUAAUACAUCGGAACAUGUCCUGUAGUGGGGGAUAGCCCGGCGAAAGCCGGAUUAAUACCGCAUACGAUCCACGGAUGAAAGCGGGGGACCUUCGGGCCUCGCGCUAUAGGGUUGGCCGAUGGCUGAUUAGCUAGUUGGUGAGGUAAAGGCCUACCAAGGCGACGAUCAGUAGCUGGUCUGAGAGGACGACCAGCCACACUGGGACUGAGACACGGCCCAGACUCCUACGGGAGGCAGCAGUGGGGAAUUUUGGACAACGGGCGAAAGCCUGAUCCAGCAAUGCCGCGUGUGUGAAGAAGGCCUUCGGGUUGUAAAGCACUUUUGUCCGGAAAGAAAUCCUUGGCUCUAAUACAGUCGGGGGAUGACGGUACCGGAAGAAUAAGCACCGGCUAACUACGUG
rnacentral:rRNA from 1 species